AAACCAGCACCUCAAGUGGUCAGGAUGAUUAUUGGGCCUAAAGCAUCCGUAGCCGGCUCUGUAAGUUUUCGGUUAAAUCUGUACGCUCAACGUACAGGCUGCUGGAAAUACUGCAGAGCUAGGGAGUGGGAGAGGUAGACGGUACUCGGGAGGAAGUGGUAAAAUGCUUUGAUCUCUCGAUGACCACCUGUGGCGAAGGCGGUCUACCAGAACACGUCCGACGGUGAGGGAUGAAAGCUGGGGGAGCAAACCGGAUUAGAAACCCGAGUAGUCC
rnacentral:rRNA from 1 species